CCUACGGGGAGCAGCAGUGAGGAAUAUUGGUCAAUGGACGAGAGUCUGAACCAGCCAAGUAGCGUGAAGGAUGACUGCCCUAUGGGUUGUAAACUUCUUUUAUAUGGGAAUAAAACGUUCCACGUGUGGGAUUUUGUAUGUACCAUAUGAAUAAGGAUCGGCUAACUCCGUGCCAGCAGCCGCGGUAAUACGGAGGAUCCGAGCGUUAUCCGGAUUUAUUGGGUUUAAAGGGAGCGUAGGUGGAUUGUUAAGUCAGUUGUGAAAGUUUGCGGCUCAACCGUAAAAUUGCAGUUGAAACUGGCAGUCUUGAGUACAGUAGAGGUGGGCGGAAGUCGUGGUGUAGCGGUGAAAUGCUUAGAUAUCACGAAGAACUCCGAUUGCGAAGGCAGUUCACUGGACUGCAACUGACACUGAGGCUCGAAAGUGUGGGUAUCAAACAGGAUUAGAUACCCUUGUAGUC
rnacentral:rRNA from 1 species